UACGUAGGGGGGCUAGCGUUGUCCGGAUUUAUUGGGCGUAAGGAGCGUGUAGGCGGUCCGGUAAGUCCGCUGUGAAAGUCGGGGGCUCAACCCUCGAAUGCCGGUGGAUACUGUCGGGCUAGAGUACGGAAGAGGCGAGUGGAAUUCCUGGUGUAGCGGUGAAAUGCGCAGAUAUCAGGAGGAACACCUAUUGCGAAGGCAGCUCGCUGGGACGUAACUGACGCUGAGACGCGAAAGCGUGGGGAGCAAACAGG
rnacentral:rRNA from 1 species